rnacentral:rRNA from 1 species
UACGUAGGUGGCAAGCGUUGUCCGGAUUUACUGGGCGUAAAGGAUGUGUAGGCGGAUACUUAAGUGAGAUGUGAAAGCCCCGGGCUCAACCUGGGGACUGCAUUUCAAACUGGGUAUCUAGAGUGCAGGAGAGGAAAGCGGAAUUCCUAGUGUAGCGGUGAAAUGCGUAGAGAUUAGGAAGAACAUCAGUGGCGAAGGCGGCUUUCUGGACUGUAACUGACGCUGAGGCAUGAAAGCGUGGGGAGCAAACAGG